AAGCAGCAGCAUUUUAUAUAGAUUUGUCAAGCCAACAUAAUUAUACCACAACUAACUAUUACAACUUUAGCUUCUUAUAAUUCCAGUGUCCAUCUACUCACAUGAUGUUGACCACGACUGCACAACCUGAGGUGAUGAGCAUCACAUGGCCUUCGAUUUCGUAAUCAUUUUUUACUACCCUCUCAAUGGCAAGAUACACCAGCACCCCAGUCACAAUCCAGAUGGACACCACAGAUAUCAGGGCUCCCAGAAUCUCUGUGAGAUGUUCAUUUGAGACAAAUAUGGUUUGGCAUCACAGCUGGAUGUAGCAAAGUCUUAAAAUCUGCUUUAAAGGAAUAGUAAUGACUUAAAUUUCAGUCUGCUUCUCAUCCAAAGCUAUCCCAUAACUUCAGAAGAUGUAGAAUAUAUAGUGCAACAAUAAUGUAUUGGUUUCUGUAUUGAAUGUAUUGAUUUUUUUUUUUUUUUUUUUUUUGGUGCUUGACAGACAAAUGUGUUCACUAUGACAUGGAAAAAAAAUAACAUAUGGGUUAGGAACAUGAAGGUGAACAAAAAUAUUCUCUUUUUUUUUUGGAAGGGGGUGAAAUAUUUAAUUGAUAUGCAUGAUUUAGAUUUAAGAUUUUCAACUUCAACAAUGAAUGUAAAAUGUAUUUGAUAGAAUUGAGAUAGACACUCAAGGAUGGACAAACCUGAUCUGUGCCAGCCAAAGUUCAUUAUCUUGGUUGGUGGCCUUGAGGAGAUCCACAAGGAGAAAAGACUGACCAUCAUACUGCCAAAAUCUGUCAGAAGGUGAGCUGCAUCGGUCAUAAUGGCCAAGCUGUGUGCUAGAUAACCACCUUCAUCAAAAGAACAGCAGAGAAAAAGAAAUGACUAUUAGAGAGAUACACUCUUAAAAAUAAAGAUUUCAAAAGGGAGUUUUCACAGAGAUGCCAUAGAAGAACCAUUUUUGGUUUCCCAAAGAACCUUUCAAUGAACAGUUCUUAAAAGAACCAUUUUUCUCUUAGUGUGAAGAACAUUUUAAAAAUGUAAGCCUAUAAAGAGCCAGUUGUGCAAGGGGAAGCAUCCAUGGAUGUUAAAGGAUCUUCAU
rnacentral:lncRNA from 1 species